rnacentral:rRNA from 1 species
UACGUAGGCAGCAAGCGUUGUUCGGAGUUACUGGGCGUAAAGGGUGUGUAGGCGGUUCUUUAAGUUUGGUGUGAAAUCUCCCGGCUCAACUGGGAGGGUGCGCCGAAUACUGAGGGACUAGAGUACGGGAGAGGAAAGUGGAAUUCCUGGUGUAGCGGUGAAAUGCGUAAAUAUCAGGAGGAACACCGGUGGUGUAGACGGCUUUCUGGACCGACACUGACGCUGAGACACGAAAGCGUGGGUAGCAAACAGG